GUUCCCUCAGAUGAAGGAAGGGAGAACCCUAAUCUGAAGAGGGGAGGUCUGAAGUGGACAGGAACAGUAUCAAGGAGACCACAGGAGGCAAAACAUUAAAAGUUGAAGAAACAGCAUAAAUAACAGAAGACUGAAACUAAGCUGAUUGGAUCAAGGACAGACACCUGACCAAGGACAGUCACGCUGUGCUUUAUGUCCCGGCAGAAAAAGGCUCUGCUAUUGAGAAUCAGUGACAAGGUGGAUGUAGCGAUGCGGGGAGAAGCCUCUCAUUUCAAGAUUUCUGGUUCUGUAUUUUAAACCAUGGAGUUCGCAAGAACAAAAUUGAUUGGAAGCCUAUCAAAGUUCGAGAAUGGUGUUUUUAGAAAUAAGCCAAGCCUUAG
rnacentral:lncRNA from 1 species